UAUAAUCAGUAUUUUAUUGGAAGCCCGGAUCCCAUAUUUAUUUAUUUUUUCAUCUACUUGAAUCUCAUCAUUUAAGUUUUAAUUAGUUGAAAUGUAAGAUUAAUUUAGGCGGUUGAUAGGGGUUCUUGUAAUAAUAGCUAGUGCUAUGUAGUUAGCUUCAUUUAUUUGGAUAUCCUCUACAAAUAUACAAAUAGGCAUGCACUACCUCUGCUAUAGGAUAUUUGCUAUCAGCUAGUGUUGGUUCAAAAUUUAGGACACUUUGCAAAAAGUCAAUAGUUUUAAAUUCUUCUUUUCUGCAAAUGCCCUUAUUAAUUGUAUUAUAGAGAGAGAUUAUAUAAGAAAGAAUUUGAAGGUAAUUAAGAUUGUUAUUAAUUGGGGGGUAAUCUUAGAAAGUAGGGAUAAUUUUUUAUCAUUUCAAUGAUUCAAUCCAUCCACUUUUAACUACUUCUCUUGGUUCAUGUGAAGUAAUUACAAGUAUCCUAUAUUUUGGACUGCAAGGAGUAUGUUAUUAUGUCCUUCUUUGAAAUUCACAUAUAUAUUUUAUUGUCAAACAAUGAAAUUUUUAAAUGGUAUUAGAGCCAUGGGACCUAAUCUUUCCAAAUGUCCAAAAUCUAGCUCAGGAGAAAACGUUAUGGUGGUUCUAACUGAGCCUUGUCUAGUUUCUGGACAACAAAAAUAAGUGGAGAAUUAAUUUCAAGAUUUGUAUCGCUUUUAUCCAGUUUACCUUGCAAUUCGUAUCUUAUUCAUGUUGCUAAGUUUUACGUUGCUGGCUGUCUUGGGAUUUGGAUGCAUUAAGGUAAUUUGCAAUGAUAGAGGUUCAUGAGCUAUAUCUCCUUGAUGGAGCUGGGAUUCUGGAAUAAUUGAUUCAUGCUACUAAUGCUACUCCUCUUUAGUGAAACCGCGCUGUGGCACUAGGUCAGGGCAGCCCAAAUUUCUUUUCUAUCUUUCUUUUAUCCUUUUCUUUUUCUUUUUCUUUUCUUCUGUUUUGUUUUUGAUUACUAGGGCCCCAACUUUCAGUACAUGAAAUGAGUAUAUUCAGAAUUAUGCAAAAACAAAUAAUAUUAUUUUCCAAUGUGAAGUAUCCCAACUUUCCAAGCACACGAAAAUUUCUAUCCUUCACACGAAGACAUACCCCUUUGGUUUAAUUCAUUUUAAUUUAUAUGGGACCAGAUGGUUUAUUACCUUUGAUAAUAAUACAAGACUUUAGACUUACCUUGGUUUACCUCAUGAGGGAGAAAUAGAGAACACCAGAUUUUCAAACAAUUCACUGCCUUUGAUCUAAAACAAUUUCAAGCUAAAAGACUCCAAGGUCUGGCAAUGUUAAAGAUUGUAUCAGCAAACCUUGUUGACCGUCUUACCUAGCAAGGGAUUGUCCGCUGAAGUUUGUGUUGAUACCCCCACCAACAAAAUGAAGUGGUUUAGUGAAAAGAUACUCCUAGAUCUCUAAUGAUUAUCACCAAUGUUCUUAAAUACUGUUGGGGACAGGCCAUUCUCACUAGUCACUGGCAUAUACCUUGUCAAUAGAAUGUCAUGUAAAACCAUAGAAUUCUAAACUCCUUAUUAGAAACUUAUUACAGCCCAGCCCAAAAUAUUAAGAAACUACAGAGUAAUGAAUGCAAAGAAGACAAUGAACGGGGAAAUACUCAGGUUUUGCUAUUAAUGCUUGAAGAACCAAAUUAGCAUUACAAAAGGAGCAGUAGUGAUUCUGGCCAAAACCCUGUUCCCACUACACCAUACAAGGAAAAUAAAACAGAACAGAACAAGAAGGUUGUUUGCUGUUGUUUGAGGGACCAGUACUCUUUUCGCUGCUUUCUAAUGUCACAAAAACAUAACUGAGAGCACCCAAAACCAGAUACAAAGUAUUAGCAGCAGCCAAAAAUUGACUCACAUGGCUAGCCUGAGUCUAAAGCCACUCUAUUGUAUUAUUGCCUAUCCCUUGUAACCUAGACCUGUAGGAUAAUGACCUGAACCUGUCACAUCUUUCUGCCCUAACCCUUGUUUUUCCUUCAUUUCCUUUUAUAUGUUUGAGUAAAACCAGCAGCUAUAUCAAAACUCCUUACAUUUCUUCAAACUAUUCAAACAUUGAAGAAAUACUAUAUAAAAUUGUGUAACAAUUAUAUUUAACAGAUGAUUACAUUAAAUCAUUGUAGAAUGUUCACCAAAAUUUGACAUGAUGGUAAAAUUUCUAGUUUGGUUUUGUUUAUUGAUGACAUUGUUGUUACAAAUGAUUAAAUUGAUGACAUGAUAGAGCCCUCUACUCUAACAAGCUUAAAACAAGCAAAAACCAGAAAAUAGGCUACAAAUGGGACUGAAAAUACUGUUGCUGAAUAAUUAAGUUGGAUUACAAGGGAAAUAAUGUGUAAUGACUCAAGUCAAUCCUAUAUCCCUCAUACAUCCUGAUACAGAGGUUACAAAAACAUAACAAAAUACAAGGACAAAACAAAAUACACAGACAAGGCAGUGCUUCUGGCUUUCAAGAGGCCCAUCUCUCCCAAUCCUCACUUUUCUUCAAAAGACUGAACUCCUCUCUCUCUGGCUGAAUCAGAGAAUCUAAAACCCAAGAAGUUAUGAAAUCACUGCCACUACCCUUAGCUGCAUCUAAUCCCUACUCCUGUAACACUUCUUUCCCCUUACGGCCACAACCCAUUGAUAGAAAAUAUGGCAGAUGUUAUUCUAGAAAGAAAUAAUUGUUUUUUUGCAUUAUUUAGUAUUUUGUAAGUUUCCUUAUAAGGAAGGAAAUCUGACUUGCUUUUGCUUUUAUUCUUUAUAUAUUUUAAUUUGCAAGUUGGUUGAGCUUGCUUAAGGGGAAGGAAAGCUUAGUCUAUAAAUAGACUAAGUUAUCACUUGUACUGGACGCUUUUGAAUGAGGAAUGAAUAUUAGAAUCUGAAAGCUCUCUCUUUCUCUCUCCCCUCUUCAUCCGCCUCCUUCCCCCUCCACUGCUCUGCCUUCAUCUUCUCAUUUCUUCUUCUCUCUGUAUUCUAUCUUUCUCUCCCUCUCUAAUCUCGAUCUCCCACUCUGUUUCUGCUAUGUCUCUCUUUUCCAACUUUGUUCAAAUCAAUAUGAGCGUGUGUGUGUGUGUGUGUUUUGCAUCAACUUGGUAUCAGAGCAAGGCUUUGAACGUUCCUAGACUGUUUUCGCGGCUGGAGAUCAGAGAAAACUCACAGGGAAGCUCAGCAUACUCUGUGUUCACGCUGCCAGCGCCCAGAGCCACUUUUGUCGACGUCAGAUUCGAAAACGGACGCCACCAUUGUGCUCAGGAGGAGAAAUCCGCUCAGAACGAGAAAAACCACCUCCGCCUACAGGCACACGCGCCAGAGGAGUUUUUGCUCGUGGUCAUCGCACGCCUCACACGCUGUCGCAUGCACCGUCCGUAUAGUUUCACCAGGACCUGAUUUUCAGCGUUUUCUUGCGUUUUCACGAAAUUUCUUCAACUCUGAAGAAGCUGAGGGGCACAAGUCAUCGUUUAAAACUUAUUUGGGGGUAAAACUUUUUGUUUUAUGCUCCUAAAGCAACGCUGGUACUUAGCCUUCACAGGUGCCAAUUCCAUCAUUGCCUGCUGUCUCACCAUCAGUUGACGAAAUUGAGACCAUUAUGGAUGAUCAAAUGGUCUUUACCUCUAAAGGGCCCCUCCGUCGUUAUUUGGUUUGUUGUAGAGGUCGAUUUGAUGAAGAUGUCACCUGGAUUUCAGAAGAUGAAUUCCAACAACUUAAUCCGGCCUUGCUAGAAGCCUAACAACUCUCUACCUCUCCGGAGGAGAGUUCUUUGCAGCAGGGAGAAUUGAUAGAAAAUAUGGCAGAUGUUAUUUUAGGAAGAAAUAAUUGUUUUUUUGCAUUAUUUAGUAUUUUGUAAGUUUCCUUCUAAGGAAGGAAAUCUGACUUACUUUUGCUUUUACUCCUUAUAUAUUUUAAUUUGCAAGUUGUUGGGCUUGCUUAAGGGGAAGGAAAGCUUAGUUUAUAAAUAGAUUAAGUUAUCACUUGUACUGGAUACUUUUGAAUGAGGAAUGAAUAUUAGAA